UACGUAGGGAGCGAGCGUUGUCCGGAAUCAUUGGGCGUAAAGAGCACGUAGGUGGAUUAAUCAGUCUGUCGUGAAAGUCAACGGCUCAACCGUUGAAGGCCGGUGGAUACUGUUGAUCUAGAGUACGGAAGAGGCGAGUGGAAUUCCUGGUGUAGCGGUGGAAUGCGCAGAUAUCAGGAGGAACACCAAUGGCGAAGGCAGGUCUCUGGGCAGUUACUGACGCUGAGGAGCGAAAGCAUGGGUAGCGAACAGGA
rnacentral:rRNA from 1 species